rnacentral:rRNA from 1 species
AUGAGGAGGUUCUUGAUUGAUAGAGCAAGCAAUGAAAAUGUGAAUGGUGUGCAAUCAGAAAUAGAAGUGGAGGCACAACCACCUCCUAACAUUGGCAAUGAAUUUAAUCCAAAUGAUAUUGAGCGUGAUCCAGGAAAGAGGAAACAAAUUUGUGAGUACAUCUCCUUAAUUGUGACUACAACAAGUUCAUCUUGCAAGAGAAGGGAUGAAUUGACAGAGGCACAACACCAAGAUAUUCUGCACAGACUUGAGAGUGGCGAGAUAUCUACAGGAAGGGGCUUGCACCAAUCAUCUACUCUUGCUAGGCCAGGUGAUACUAGAUGGGGUUCC